rnacentral:rRNA from 1 species
AACAAAUUUUGAUCCGCAGAUUUCCGAAUGGGGAAACCCAACUAGCUUAGCUAGUUAUUGCAUAUUAGUUCAAUAUGUAAGGCAAACUUGGUGAACUGAAAUAUCUAAGUAACCAAAGGAAAAGAAAUCAACCGAGAUUCUGUUAGUAGUGACGAGCGAAAGCGGAAAAGGCUAGUGAUUUAAGAAUAAGAAUUAGAAUACUCUGGAAAGUGUAACCAUAGAAGGUGAUAGUCCUGUAUAGGUAGAAAGUUUUUAAAUCCUUGAGUAGGGCGGGGCACGUGAAACCCUGUUUGAAUGUGGGGGGACCAUCCUCUAAGCCUAAAUACUCCUUGACGACCGAUAGUGAACAAGUACCGUGAGGGAAAGGUGAAAAGAACCCCGGGAGGGGAGUGAAAUAGAAUCUGAAAUCGAGUGCUUACAAACAGUUGGAGCUCUAUGUUUUUGCUGCAAGAGUAAUCUUGUAGCUGUUUACAUUAGAG